UGACCUCGAAUCAGGUAGGGAUACCCGCUGAACUUAAGCAUAUCAAUAAGCGGAGGAAAAGAAACCAACAGGGAUUACCUCAGUAACGGCGAGUGAAGCGGUAACAGCUCAAAUUUGAAAUCUGGUCCGGUUACGGGCCCGAGUUGUAAUUUGUAGAAGAUGCUUUGGAAUGAGUCCGGCCUAAGUUCCUUGGAACAGGACGUCAUAGAGGGUGAGAACCCCGUAUGCGGCCGAGUACUCAGUGCCAUGUAAAGCUCUUUCGACGAGUCGAGUUGUUUGGGAAUGCAGCUCAAAAUGGGUGGUAAAUUUCAUCUAAAGCUAAAUAUUGGCCAGAGACCGAUAGCGCACAAGUAGAGUGAUCGAAAGAUGAAAAGCACUUUGGAAAGAGAGUUAAACAGUACGUGAAAUUGUUGAAAGGGAAGCGCUUGCAACCAGACUUGGGCACUGUGGAUCAUCCGAGGUUCUCCUCGGUGCACUCGGCAGUGCGCAGGCCAGCAUCAGUUUGGGUGGUUGGAUAAAGACUUGUGGAAUGUAGCUCCUUUCGGGGAGUGUUAUAGCCACAGGUGCCAUGCGACCAACCCGGACUGAGGACCGCGCUUCGGCUAGGAUGCUGGCGUAAUGGUUGUAAGCGACCCGUCUUGAAACACGGACCAAGGAGUCUAACAUCUAUGCGAGUGUUUGGGUGUUAAACCCAUACGCGGAAUGAAAGUGAACGUAGGUGAGAACCUGUAAGGGGGCAUCAUCGACCGAUCCGGAUGUCUUCGGAUGGAUUUGAGUAAGAGCAUAGCUGUUGGGACCCGAAAGAUGGUGAACUAUGCCUGAAUAGGGUGAAGCCAGAGGAAACUCUGGUGGAGGCUCGCAGCGGUUCUGACGUGCAAAUCGAUCGUCAAAUU
rnacentral:ncRNA from 1 species